rnacentral:rRNA from 1 species
UACGUAGGUGGCGAGCGUUGUCCGGAAUUACUGGGUGUAAAGGGCGUGUAGGCGGGAAUGCAAGUCAGAUGUGAAAUACCGAGGCUUAACUUCGGGGCUGCAUCUGAAACUGUAUUUCUUGAGUAUCGGAGAGGAAAGUGGAAUUCCCAGUGUAGCGGUGAAAUGCGUAGAUAUUGGGAGGAACACCAGUGGCGAAGGCGACUUUCUGGACGGUAACUGACGCUGAGGCGCGAAAGCGUGGGGAGCAAACAGGAUUAGAUACCCUGGUAGU